GGCUCGGUAGCUUAGUUGGUAAAGCGCUCGUCUAGCAUACAUGCAGCGCUCGUCUAGCAUGGGUUGAAAUCCCAGCCGAGCAC
rnacentral:tRNA from 1 species